rnacentral:rRNA from 1 species
GACAGAGGGUGCAAACGUUGCUCGGAGUUACUGGGCGUAAAGCGCGUGUAGGCGGUGCCGCACGUCCGAUGUGAAAGCCCGGGGCUCAACCCCGGAAGUGCAUUGGAUACGACGGCGCUGGAGUCCUGAAGAGAAGGGCGGAAUUCCCGGUGUAGAGGUGAAAUUCGUAGAUAUCGGGAGGAACACCAGUGGCGAAGGCGGCUCUCUGGACAGGAACUGACGCUGAGACGCGAAAGCGUGGGUAGCAAACAGG